rnacentral:lncRNA from 1 species
GUAAUAUUUGUGAUUUAUAUUUUGUUGUCUUUUAAUUCACUGUUUUUUCUAUGAUAGUUCUGAUUGUGAAAUUGAGCCUUUAACUUUUGUAUUUAUUAUAAGCAAGAUUGGAAUGCUGGAAUUCGUUCAGGAUUCGGGUACGUCGAAUCUCUGGUUAAAACAAUCUUUAUAAUGAAGGUACAGAAAAAAGUGAAAUAAUAAUAAGAGUUCCUGAGACACAAAUUCUAACAAACACCUCUUUUCUUAUGCACCAGAAUACUGGUUCCAACUACCUAUAUCCUUUUUGCCUCAGCUCUUCCAGUAAUUGCAUUGGGAGAGCAAAUAAGCAGAGAUACUGGUACACUUUUUAACUUAAGUUUGGGUAGAAAAACCCUGAACCCUGACUUGUCAUUAGCUGUCAAAGUGAUCAUGACCACACAAAACAUUAUUUCUGUUUAUAAAGGAUUACAAGUUUUGUACUGGUUUAUUGCUUAGGAUUGCAUAGGCUGUAGAACUUUGGUAUCAACUGCAAUUUGUGGUAAUGUAUAAUACACUAUAUUUGGUGGAUAAGCCUCCUUAUACAUACACUUAUACAUGUGCAGUUGCAGUCUAACUUAAAUGUGUUCUUACAUACUUCUAAUUUAUUUUAUUUCCAUUUUUUAGCAUUAAGUUUUGUUGCAUCAGCAUCUUAGUUUAUGAGGACAUGAAAUUUGUUUGUUUGAACUUUGAAAUUCAGUUGUAUUUUUCCUUUCAGCAAUGUUAUAUUUUGGUAGUCGCUUUUUCGCCCUUUGAUAUUUCAACUUAUGUAAAUAUCCAAAGUGUAUGGCUGUUGGAGCAAUCAUAUAGUGAUUGACUAUGAACUUAAAAAAAUGGCGUAUUUCUAAAGAAUGAUUCAUGAUAUGCGCAUAAAAGAUGGAAAAGCAACAUAUGUCUUCCUAUUGUUAUUGUUAUCAUUGAUGUUGCUUUAAAACUUCUGCAUAUAGUUUGGGCGUGUUAGAAUAGUUGAAUUGGAUUUGUUUCUAAAAUAAGCUAAUCAUAUGGAGUGGGAUAUUUCCUAAUUUUUCUGUCUAUUUUUAGGAUGAUAGGAUGGUUUGCUGUUAAGCUUUCUAGAAGUCAAUUCUUACAUUGUAUUUAUCUUUGUAAUUUCUACUUGGAACAGAAUUAGGUUUCAGUCUUCCCAAAUUUCACUUGGUAUCAAAGCCAUACUAGUUCUGUUUAUAAAGGAUUACAAGUUUUUUUCUGCCAUUUAUAGCAUUUGUAACAUUUGAGUAAUCAUCUUGGAAUAUUUCCCAACAGGAGGGUACAACACCCUUGAACCUAUAUGUUCAGGAUGAAUUUCAUCGUUCUGCACAAGUGGGGGUUGGAGGUGUCAAAAGCAUUACAAAUUAUGCUCCGUUAAAAUAUAUGCUGGAUGAUCAUAAUAACCUCGUAGUUUCCUCUUUCACUUGUUUGACAUUUAUUGCUUUGUAGAAGAUUUUAUUGCUUUAAUACGUUAACAACUUUUGUAGGUUUUGAAUCAUUGAACAGAGAAUGGAACAGAGGCUUCUCUGAUGUCUUAUACCUUGAUUCUAUGAAUAAGAGAUAUACUGAAGAGGCCUCUUCUUGUCUUGUCUUCAUUUGGAAGGUAUUUAGCGAAUGUCCUAUUCCAUUUGAAGAACUACCUGAU